UUAAGACUGGUCUGAAGAAUGUAUGGACAGAAAUGACUAUCAGUAAAAGCAACAGGAAGGGCAAUAGAGCAAAGUUAAGAAAAAACCUGAAACAUUUUGAUAACCAUGGACACAUUGACAACAAACAAACAGGGAAGAUGACUGUAGCCAUAAAGACACCCACAGCAGGCAAACCCAGGAAACAGCCCGCAAUCUAAGAUCCAUCUAGGCUUAGCAGCAAGAUACAAAGAUGACUACCAAUGGCAACUGGCGGUGGCAAGCACUGCUUGAGGAGCAUUUCAGAACUUCUUACACCCUACCAGAAGAGCAAAAGUCUGCCCAGAAGUAUAAAGAUUAAAAUGAACUGGGAACUAAUGUAAAACAGUAAUUCAGGUAACUUGGCUUUGGUUUCGCUCUAGAUUACUACAAGUACUGUAAUAAAUCACAAGACAGGUGUAAACUUCUGUUUUUAAUUGUCAUGUACAUACCAGUUCCUCCCAAACUCUGUUUCCCUUGCUCCCACUAAAACAACAGCAAGUU